UCAGCUACUUGCGUUUUGAGCAUUAUAUAACUAUUUUAACCCAAGGACUAUUACGCAUGGGAUUAGUUUGGCCCUUUGAAAUGAAGUUUAACAAAACUUCCAAAAUAAAAGCCUUGACAACAUUUUAAAUCGUACCGAAUGGUGCGCGUCCGCCUCGCUUAACGUUCUUGCGGUUCUCCGCGUGCCACUGAUUACGUUGCGGCGUUCUUUAGCGUCGACGCCGAUUUGUGGCGUGACGACGCCGGGCCCGAGCCCGACGGGCGCGCCUCGGCAGGCCCCGGCUAAAUUUCUUCCGAAAUUUUCUAGUUAUAAUUCAUUAUUUUUCAU